rnacentral:rRNA from 1 species
AGAGUUUGAUCAUGGCUCAGGAUGAACGCUGGCGGCGUGCUUAACACAUGCAAGUCGAACGAUGAAGCCCAGCUUGCUGGGUGGAUUAGUGGCGAACGGGUGAGUAACACGUGAGUAACCUGCCCUUAACUCUGGGAUAAGCCUGGGAAACUGGGUCUAAUACCGGAUAGGAGCGCCUACCGCAUGGUGGGUGUUGGAAAGAUUUAUCGGUUUUGGAUGGACUCGCGGCCUAUCAGCUUGUUGGUGAGGUAAUGGCUCACCAAGGCGACGACGGGUAGCCGGCCUGAGAGGGUGACCGGCCACACUGGGACUGAGACACGGCCCAGACUCCUACGGGAGGCAGCAGUGGGGAAUAUUGCACAAUGGGCGCAAGCCUGAUGCAGCGACGCCGCGUGAGGGAUGACGGCCUUCGGGUUGUAAACCUCUUUCAGUAGGGAAGAAGCGAAAGUGACGGUACCUGCAGAAGAAGCACCGGCUAACUACGUGCCAGCAGCCGCGGUAAUACGUAGGGUGCGAGCGUUAUCCGGAAUUAUUGGGCGUAAAGAGCUCGUAGGCGGUUUGUCGCGUCUGUCGUGAAAGUCCGGGGCUUAACCCCGGAUCUGCGGUGGGUACGGGCAGACUAGAGUGCAGUAGGGGAGACUGGAAUUCCUGGUGUAGCGGUGGAAUGCGCAGAUAUCAGGAGGAACACCGAUGGCGAAGGCAGGUCUCUGGGCUGUAACUGACGCUGAGGAGCGAAAGCAUGGGGAGCGAACAGGAUUAGAUACCCUGGUAGUCCAUGCCGUAAACGUUGGGCACUAGGUGUGGGGACCAUUCCACGGUUUCCGCGCCGCAGCUAACGCAUUAAGUGCCCCGCCUGGGGAGUACGGCCGCAAGGCUAAAACUCAAAGGAAUUGACGGGGGCCCGCACAAGCGGCGGAGCAUGCGGAUUAAUUCGAUGCAACGCGAAGAACCUUACCAAGGCUUGACAUGUUCUCGAUCGCCGUAGAGAUACGGUUUCCCCUUUGGGGCGGGUUCACAGGUGGUGCAUGGUUGUCGUCAGCUCGUGUCGUGAGAUGUUGGGUUAAGUCCCGCAACGAGCGCAACCC